rnacentral:rRNA from 1 species
UACAGAGGGUGCAAGCGUUGUUCGGAAUUAUUGGGCGUAAAGGGCGCGUAGGCGGCGCGAUAAGUCAAAGGUGAAAUCCCUCGGCUCAACUGAGGAACUGCCUUUGAAACUGUCGUGCUUGAGGCCGGGAGGGGGUAGCGGAAUUCCCAGUGUAGCGGUGAAAUGCGUAGAUAUUGGGAGGAACACCAGUGGCGAAGGCGGCUACCUGGACCGGUUCUGACGCUGAUGCGCGAAAGCGUGGGUAGCAAACAGG